CAGUAGCCACGGUAAUACGUAGGGUGCGAGCGUUAAUCGGAAUUACUGGGCGUAAAGCGUGCGCAGGCGGUUUUGUAAGACAGGCGUGAAAUCCCCGGGCUCAACCUGGGAAUGGCGCUUGUGACUGCAAAGCUAGAGUGCGGCAGAGGGGGAUGGAAUUCCGCGUGUAGCAGUGAAAUGCGUAGAUAUGCGGAGGAACACCGAUGGCGAAGGCAAUCCCCUGGGCCUGCACUGACGCUCAUGCACGAAAGCGUAGGGAGCAAACAGGAUUAGAUACCCGGGUAGUCCCUGUCUCUUAUAC
rnacentral:rRNA from 1 species